rnacentral:rRNA from 1 species
AGUGAACGCUGGCGGUAGGCCUAACACAUGCAAGUCGAACGGCAGCACAGUAAGAGCUUGCUCUUACGGGUGGCGAGUGGCGGACGGGUGAGGAAUACAUCGGAAUCUACUUUUUCGUGGGGGAUAACGUAGGGAAACUUACGCUAAUACCGCAUACGACCUACGGGUGAAAGCAGGGGAUCUUCGGACCUUGCGCGAUUGAAUGAGCCGAUGUCGGAUUAGCUAGUUGGCGGGGUAAAGGCCCACCAAGGCGACGAUCCGUAGCUGGUCUGAGAGGAUGAUCAGCCACACUGGAACUGAGACAAGGUCCAGACUCCGAAGGGAGGCAGCAGUGGGGAAUAUUGGACAAAGGGCGCAAGCCUGAUCCAGCCAUAACGCGUGGGUGAAGAAGGCCUUCGGGUUGGAAAGCCCUUUUGUUGGGAAAGAAAAGCAGCAGGUUAAUACCCCGCUGUUCUGACGGUACCCAAAGAAUAAGCACCGGCUAACUUCGUG